rnacentral:lncRNA from 1 species
UUUUUUUUUUUUUUUUUUAAAGAAUGGGCUUUCUUGCCUGUGCUGAAACACCUUGCCAGCGGGUAGGCUUGCCUUGCCAACUGGCAUUCAAAUAGAUCUUUAUUACCCCGUCCCAGCCGGCGCCUGGCCCAGCCCUGCGGUUCUCGGCGCUGGUCCUCCAGUAGGUGUGCGUUGGGUGUGGGGGCGGGACGUCGGGCAAAAAGCCUCAAGUCCCAUCAGACACACUCUCUGCGGCCGGAGCUUGGAGGUGCACCUGGUGGAGCGCUCUUCCUCUCCUGGAAAUGAAUUGUGCAUGACUCACAUCCAUAAAUCCAUAGGCGUCUACAGUGUGAAAAGCUCUCAACUUAAGCUGUGCAUCCCACUCCUGGACCGUGAUGGAUUUGCUCUUCCUGGUUCAGUUAUGAGUGUCUCUUUAACAUGUCCUAACACUGAUCUUUUGAAAACAGAAGGAAAGAAAGAAAACGGGUUUGCCUGAGAGCUGCAUGCGGAAGAGAAUGAGCCUGAAAGGCUCAUCAAAUGAGUUUGUUUUCACCCUGCCCUAGGGAGCUGGGAUUCUUUCUUCACUCACCUUUCUGUGGCUCGGCUAAAGAUGCCGGGCUCCUAGCUUGGAAAGGGCCGGAUUUUCUGCGGGGACAGCCUUCUGGCCUUGUCCUCCGGCCACACUUGUUUUGGGUGAGCAUGCAAAUACACUUGGAUUCGUGAAUGUCUUUGUGGGCUCUCUGGGGCUUUUCUUCUUGUACGCCACGCACAGUGUAUACAGUGGACAGGGUAAUUUAAGGAUUCAAAGGCUGAGCAGACUUUUUUUACUCGGCCAACACGGUGGCCCAGCGCGGGGCCAUCCUUUGCGGAGAAGGGCUGCAGGCCGCGGCUCUGCCAAGCUGAGGCUUCCACCCACGGGAGGGCUUUUGAAAGAGCUCCGGUUGCAUGUUGCUCUUUUGGUCAAAACCUUGCCGGUGUUCCAACACAGGGAGGGUGUAUUUUGGAAGAAAUGUUUUCCUGUUACCUUUUGGGAGCAGAUAUUUGCAUGGCGCUGUGGCUGGAGAAGCCCGUGGCGUUGAACCCCUGUGUACGUUAAGGCCUGUCUUGGGGGGAACCUGUCUUAGGAGAAUAACAUAGCAUUAAAAAAAAAAAAAGUAAUUGGACUGACCUUGUUAGAGGUUCCAGCAAAUCAGGUUGCUGUGAAAAGCCAGGAUGUUCUGAAGCACAAAGUAAAAGGAACGGCAACCUUGUCGUUUCUCCUUCGUGGGGGGAGAGGGACAAAAUGUUAGUGUAUCUUUUGGAGUUUAGUUUUCAUUGUUAUCCAAGUGGCACUUGCACAGUUUAAAUAAUCAAAUAGUUCUUCAAGGCUGCUUAGAAGACGGGCAGCUCCCGCCGUCAUUUCCUUUUCCCUAGAGAAGCAGUGGAGACUCUUCAGCCGAGGUCUUUCAGCAUUUGCUUAUAUUCUGUCUUGCUGCUACUUUUGUUUGUUCCGUUUCAAGGGCGGCCAUGGACUUCCCACUCUCAAAGCCUGGGAUUCAGGCUGUUGUUCACAUGUACCUCCCUUCUUUCUACCAGCGAUGCAGGCCCCUCUCCUGGGCUGCUAUGCUCCCCUCCCCUUGUAACUACAUCGAGAUUUUGGUUGGAAGAGGCUUUUUCAGCCUUAGCACCGUUUGAUAUUUGGGGCCAAGUCCUUCUCUGUGGUGGGGGCUGCCCUGUGCACUGUGGGGUGGAGAGCAGUUUCCCUGAGUCUCCCCACUAGAUGCAGGACAGACUCCUCCGCCCCUGUAGUUGAGGGGAUUAGAACAUGUCUUCUGGAGUUCCCGUCAAGGCAUGGUGGUAACGAACCCGACUAGUAUCCAUGAAGAUUCGGGUUCAAUCCCUGGCCUUGCUCAGUGGAUUGGGGAUCUGUCCAUUACCAUGAGCUGUGGUGUAGGUCACAGACGUGGCUCAGAUCCUGAGUUGCUGUGGCGCAGGCCGACAGCUGCAGCUCUGAUUCAUCGUCUAGCCUGGGAGCUUCCACAUGCUGCAGGUGUGGUCCUAAAAAGACUGAAAAACUAAAAUCUCCUGAUGCUGCCACAUGUCCCCUGGGGGACAAAAAUUGCCCUUUGGAACGCACUGGGUUAGCAGUGUUGAGAUGUGGUUUUGAGUGUCAGUGCUGUCACUCCUGAGCCUGGUGGUACAAACUCUGAUUUUUCCUGCACAUGUUUUAGAGUCACCAAGGUUAAUGAUAGGUUUUCUUUCUUUGCCUCAUUUUCUAUGCACUUACCAUAGAUACAGCCCCCAAAUCUUUCCCAGGCUAGGGGUUGAAUGAGAGCUGUAGCCGCUGGCCUACACCACAGCCACAGCAAUAUGGGAUCCGAGCCAAGUCUGCAACCUACACCACAGCUCACGGCAAUGCCGGAUCCUUAACCCAAUGAGCGAGGCCUGCAUCCUCAUGGAUCCUAGUUGGGUUCGUUACCACUGAGCCACGACGGGAACUCCUCCGCAAAAACCUUUUUUUGAAUAAUACUGAUUUUCUUUUUAUAAUAUUUUUGAAAGGUAGCUCUUUCAGGUCAAUGUGAUAUUCAGAAGAAUAGGAUUUAUUUUUUAUUUUAUUUUAUUUGUGCUAUUUUAGGGCCACACCCGCAGCAUAUGGAGGUUCCCAGGCUAGGGUCGAAUUGGAGCUGUAGCUGCUGGCCUACACCACAGCCACAGCAAGGCCAGAUCCGAGCUGCAUCUGCAACGUACACCACAGCUUAUGGCAACGCUGGAUCCUUAACCCACUGAGCGAGGCCAGGGAUUGAACCUGCAUCCUCAUGGAUCCUAGUUGGGUUCCUUAACCACUGAGCCAUGAAGGGAACUGCCAGAAGAAUAGGAUUUAAAAAAGAGGUUUGGGGGAGUUCCCGUUGUGGCUCAGCAGUAAUGAGUCCAGUUAGUAUCCAUGAGGAUGCAGGUACGAUCCCUGACCCCACUCAGUGGGUUAAGGAUCUGACGUUGCUGUGAGCUGUGGUGAAGGUCAUAGACACGGCUUGGAUCCACUGUUGCUGUUUCUGUGGUGUAGACCGGCAGCUGCAGCUCUGAUUCGACCCCUAGUCUGGAAACUUGCAUAUACUGCACAUGUGGCCCUUAAAAAAAAAAAAAAAAAAAAAAAAAGAGGUUUGGAAAGUAAAAAUAAGAGGCAAAGAAGGUUAAAUAUCCCAUGACAGCCAACUCCAUGGUUUGUUCGCUGGCAGUAGAAAAUGUUUCAGGGCAUGGAGCUGGAUCUGUAGGCUUAGUAGAGAUGUUAUCUGGGUCUUCUCACCUUCUGGACACACUGCUGGACUCCAUUUCCCAGCUUCCCUUGCAGCUGCGGGGGCCCCGUGACAUUUCUCCCUGGCCUCCUGCAAGUACAAGUGAUGCGGGCCAUCUAUGGCCUGGGCUGCGUCCCCUCUUCUGGUUGUCUGGAGUGAAGGCGGCCCAAGGCACAGCCUCACCAGCACGGGUCCCUGGGUCCCUGAAUGUGUGGUUACCCUCCCAGGGGCACCAGUAAGAAAUAAGCCUCUGUUGCGUUUGGGCCAUUAGGCAUGUCUUGGAUGCUCUCAGAGUUUGACCCUUCUUACACUUGAGGUCCAGGCAGAAAUCAAAGGCUUUCCUUGUAAGGAACAGACCUGGAUCUCAGAGACUGGCUGGGUGAUGCUCCCUUUACAGCCACGCAGAGGGAAUCAAGACUGACUCUGUAGAAAGAACCCCAUUAACAUGUAGCUUAUGCCUGCACACAUAUUACCUAAAAUGAGACCUGCACGCUCAGAGGUCAGCUUCUUUUCCCCUCUUCACUUUUUCUUUCUUUCUUUCUUUUUUUCUUUUUGCUUUUUCGGUCUGCACUUGCGGCAUAUGGAAGUUCCCAGGCUGGGGUCUAAUCGGAGCUACGGCUGCCGGCCACAGCCACAGCCAUGCCAGAUCCGAGCCACGUCUGCAACCUACACCACAGCUCAUGGCAAUGCCAGAUCCUCAACCCACCGAGCGAGGCCAGGGAUCGAACCCGCAACCUCAUGGUUCCUAGUUGGAUUCAUUUCUACCGUGCCACGACGGGAACUCCUGAAUUGUCCUUUAAUAAUGGCACUUUGGUUAAAGCAGAAAGGGUUGCCCUGGAGGGUUACCCAUUGAAUCCUCAUUAACUGGGCUGCCUCUGUCAGGUUAAUUAAUUAUGAUCUGUACAGCGGACUCUUCUUCUCCCUAAGGGCUGGAACACAGACGCAUGGAAGGAAGGAGACAAAGGAGAAAGGGCGAGGAAGGGGGGUGUGGCAUGAGCUGGUCCCCAGAGGAAGAUGGCAUUGGUGUGGGGUUCCCAGGCUUGGGGACAGGGGCUGAGCGGGGUGGGGGAGGGAUGGUCGCUUCUCUUCCAGGUAUUAGAAUGCUUGGGGAAGGUGGGGAGAUGGCUGGGGGACACCAGGGGCCUGGAGGCCCUCCCUGACUGUCACAGGAGGUAAAGGGAUUCUUGGCCUGUGGCCUGGACAUGCUGGAGCUGAUGGAAUUUUGCUGCUGCUGAAAUUCUGCUUCUGUCUGUGUGUGAGUUCUGCUUCUGUGUGUAAAUCUGUAAACAGGGAUAUUUGUGCUAAUUGUACAUGUGCUGGUCGGUUUGGAAGCAUAGCGAUACGUCUUUUUCCUGUUGCAGAAACGUGAAAACCAUCUUGAAAAAAUGGAAAAUAAGGGUCAAGAUGAUCAGUAGCCUAAAACAUGUAAUUUAUUUCUGGUAGUAGAGCUGUAGGGAAUUUUCUCCCCUCUCUGUGGAGUUAUUUGCUUGGUACCAUGUAGAUCUAAUCAUGAGUUGCUUGAAGGUAAUUCUCAGUCAACAGUCUUUGGAAUCUGAUGCUUGCUGAAAGGAAGCUUGGUUCUGUGUAUGCCACUUGGAAUUUAAAAAUGAUAGGUUUUCUUAUCGUGGUGUAUAUUGAGUUUUCUCAUUUAGUUUUCUCUAGGCAGGCGUAUUAAAAAGAGAAAACCCUGGGAGUUCCCCCUGUGGCACUGUGGCACAGUGGGAUCAGUGGCAUCGCUGGAGCUCUGGGAUGCAGGUUCGAUCCCUGGUCGGGUAUCAGGUUAAGUGGGUUAAGGAUCUGGUGUAGGUUGCAGCUGUGGUGAAAGUUGAAUCUGCAGCUUGGAUCUGAUCCCUGGCGCAGGAACUCCAUAUGCCGUGGGGUGGCCAAAAAAAAUAAAAUAAGAGAACCCUAACUUCUGGAAAGCUGAGUCUGUCCCAGUGAUUAAAGAUGUUGGUCCUUCGACCCCUAGCCUGGGAACCUCCAUAUGCCAUGGGGGCAGCCCUAAAAAGACAAAAAAAAAAAAAA